GACGAACGCUGGCGGCGUGCUUAACACAUGCAAGUCGAACGGCAAGGCCCUGCUUUUGAGGGGUGCGCGAGUGGCGAACGGGUGAGUAACACGUGAGUAACCUGCCCUUGGCUGUGGGAUACCUUCAGGAAGCUGGGGCAAAUACCGGAUAGGAGCUCCUGCGACAUGGGGGGGGUUGGAAAGUUUCGGCGGUUGGGGCUGGACUCGCGGCUUAUCAGCUUGGUGGGGGGGAAGUGGCAUCCCAGGGCUUUGACGGGUAGCCGGCCUGAGAAGGUGACCACCCCCAUUGGGCCUGCGGUACGGCGCAGUCUCCUAUGUGGGGCAGAAGUCGGGAGUCUUGUACAGCGAGGCCAAGCCUGUGGCGGCGACGCUCGGUGCGUAAUGCCCGCCUUCCCGUUGAAAACCGCUUGCGCCUGUGACGGAGGGUGAAUGACGGUACUGGGUAAAUAAGCACCGGCUAACUACGUG
rnacentral:rRNA from 1 species